rnacentral:misc_RNA from 1 species
GUGAAUCAUCAAAUUUUUGAACGCAAAUUGCACUCUCUUCGGAGAGUAUGCCUGAUUGAGGGUCAGCCUACAAAAAAUCUACAUAGUCGCUGUUUCUCGGUGACAUUCGUCGGGAUUUGGGUCAUCUUAAACCUUUGGGUUUUAAGCGGCUUAAAAUUUUCUUUACGAUUACACGACUGUUUCUAAGAUUUAC